UACGAAGGGGGCUAGCGUUGCUCGGAAUGACUGGGCGUAAAGGGCGCGUAGGCGGCUUGCACAGUCAGGCGUGAAAUUCCUGGGCUCAACCUGGGGACUGCGCUUGAGACGUGUGGGCUUGAGUGGGGAAGAGGGUCGUGGAAUUCCCAGUGUAGAGGUGAAAUUGUAGAUAUUGGGAAGAACACCGGUGGCGAAGGCGGCGACCUGGUCCUUGACUGACGCUGAGGCACGAAAGCGUGG
rnacentral:rRNA from 1 species